rnacentral:lncRNA from 10 species
CAGCUACUCAGGAAGUUGAGGCAGGAGAAUCUCUUGAACCCGAGAGGCAGAGGUUGCAGUGAGCCAAGAUUGUGCCAUUAAACUCCAGCCUGGGCUACAAGAGCAAAACUCUGUCUCAAAAAAAAAAAGGCACUUUAAAGGCACAGAUGAAGCACCAGCUUUGAAACAAUCCCCGUGAGGAUGGGGCACUAUCCUUCAAGAUGCAGUAUAUGCAGACAGUCCCUGACUUAUGAUGGCUCCACUUAGAAUUUUUUGACUUUAUAAUGGUGCAAAAGUGAUACACAUUCAGUAGAAACUACACUUUGAAUAUUAAAUUUUGAUCUUUUCCUGGGGAAGUGAUAUGUAAUAUGAUACUCUCUUGUGAUGUUGGGCAGGGGCAGCAAGCUGCAGCUCCCACUCAGCCAGGCAAUCACGAGGGUAAACAACCAAUCCUCUACAGUGUACAAUGUUGCCAGAUGAGUUUGCACAACUGUAAGCUAAUAUAAGUGUUCUGAGCAUGUUUAAGAUAGGCUAGGCUAAGCGAUAAUGUUCACUAGGCUAGGUGUAUUUAAUGCAUUUUUGACUAACAAAGUUGAGGAGCAUCUGUACUCUAAACCAGGGAUCAGCAAAUUAUGGACAACGUGCCAAAUCCAGCCCACUGCCUGUUUUGAUAAAUAUGACUUUAUUGGAACAUGGCCAUGCUCAUUUGUUUACAUACUGUCUUUGGCUGCUUUCAUGUUAUAACAUCAGAGUUGAGUAGUAGCAACAGAGACCAUAUGGACUGCAAAGUCUAAAAUAUUUACUGUCUGGCCCUUUAUAGAAAAAGCUCACUGACUCUACCUCUAACUCAGAGAUCAUUAUAUAGUGCUCUGGCCCCAACAGGUAAAAAUACAUGGGUGUAAGAACCAAGACAUGGAAGUAAGAGUGACCCUCUCACCAUCACUCCUAAUGAACUACUUGAGGAUUUAUGCUUCCUGUCUCUACAACCUUAGGAUCUAUGCAUCUAGAAGAUCCAGUUCCCAGAUGGGGAUCACUUCCACAAAGAGACGUAGCAAGAGUCCAACUACACCUAAAGCUACACGUAUUGGCUGGUCACUUGGGCUCCUUCUGCCAAUAGAUCAACAGGUAUGAAAAAGAGUUACCAUACUGACAGUGGGAAUUGGCCCUAGAUUAUCAUGAGGACGUAAAGUUGCUGCUAUAUAAUAUGAGCAGGGAAGAGUAUGUUUGGCAUUCAUGUGACCAAUUGGGGCAUCUCUUGCUACUGUAAUGCCCAGUUUUAGCCAUGAAUGGGCAAGUGAAGCAACCACAGACUUGAUAAGGGCAUGAAAAUGGGCUCAGACCCACGGCAAUGAGGGUAUAGGUCACCCCAUCAGGAAAGCCACCUAAACCAGCAGAAGAACCAAACAAGUUAGGGAAAUCUAGAAUGGGUGAUGAAAGAAGGAAAAAAGAAUAUCAGUUAAAGAAUUUAUGAGGAUUACCAUUUCUCUGUAUCUUUGUCAACAAUUCUUUACUGUGUGCUUUUUUAUUUCUGCAAUUCUAGUGGGUAUGCAAUGAUAUCUCAUUGUAGUUUUAAUUUGCAUUUCCAUAACUAAUGAUAUUGAUCAUAUUUUCAUGUUCAAUGUUUUAAAAACAGCUUUCUUGAGGCAUAAUUUACAUACCUUAAAAUUCACUGGUGUAAUUGCUCAAAUCAACAAUUUUUAGUAAAUUUCCAGGGUUGUAUGUACAACCAUCACCACAAUCUACCACAAAGUUUCCAUCAACCAGAGGAGAUCCCUAAUGUUCAUUUGCAGUUAAUCUCCACUC